AUGCCCUGUGACGAUAAAAAUACGUAUUAUUCUGAGGGAAAAAACCUACUGGCAGUCUCAUCUCCUAUUCCCUCCAUCCUGCUCUCCUCUCCUAUGCUACAUCUCUCUACAAAUGGUAUCUGGUCUGUUGACUGAUUAUGAGAUAUGAGGGCAU